UGGAUCUUUAUCCAAGCACUUCUUCAGGAAAUCCAGCUGUCAACAAAAUAUUUAUACAGUAAUUAUCAUUGAGGCUAAGCGCAGCAUUCAGGACAAAGUAUAGCGCUUCUCUUUUCGAGUCGAUUAUAGAAGAUUUACAUACUACAGUUAUUCAGGUAUUUCUUGAAGUGGACAGUGAAAAAGGAUAAUAUCGGGGAGAUAACACCUCGAUUCGAGAUACCACGUGGUCGGGGCCGCAAAGAUCGAAGGGGCCGACAGAGAGUCGCCCUACUAAAGGUCAAACUGUCCACUAUCGUAUAUUUAUUAAAAUUUCCUUAAAAGUUGGGUGUCGGACUGAAACGCAGGGUGCCGUAUCGUUCCUUCCGAUCUCCGAGGAAACUACGUGCCGUAAUGGUCAAGGAAGGUCAGUAGGUCGUCCUGAGUAACGUCGUUGCGGUUCGUUAGCGAUCACGCGAGCGUAUAUCGCGAUCGCUUGAGCGACUGACCAUAGAAGUCCUUGGAUUUUAUUUGUACGAAAACUUACGCACGCAUAAAAGCGUUUUAUCUGUUAGAUAUACGUCGGUUAUAUAAUAUUCCCACGUGUGAAAGAAAAGAAACGUUUAUUUCGCGAUAACUUAUAAAGAUUAAACGCCUAUUUACUCAUAUUGCUUCAUAAUAUAUUUGGUGUUACCAAACGGAAAGCAUCUGGCACAAUUUAUACAGAUUUGCGGAAAUAACUGAUCUACGUUAAAAACAAAAUUCUGAUAAACUGGUGAGAUGCGUAUUAGUAAUACAUUUUUUGAAAAAUUUAGUCAUUAUUACUGAAUUUGAUAAUAAUAGCAAAACGUUUGGUAAUAAUUAUAAACAUUUUGAACGAGUCAAUUUUGCAUUUAGUUGAGUCAACUAAAUUCUGCAAUGUUUUAACUUUAACAAAUUUAAUAAUCAAGCUUUUUACGCCUUAGUGGUCGAAUUGGUGAAACGCCCGUCCAGAGAGAAGGGAAGUCCAAGUUGAAACCCUGACCGAGUGCGUGCACAUAUAUACGCGAAAAAAAAGGAACAAGU